UACGUAGGGUGCAAGCGUUGUCCGGAAUUAUUGGGCGUAAAGAGCUCGUAGGCGGCUUGUCGCGUCGGAUGUGAAAGCCCGGGGCUUAACUCCGGGUCUGCAUUCGAUACGGGCAGGCUGGAGUUCGGUAGGGGAGAUCGGAAUUCCUGGUGUAGCGGUGAAAUGCGCAGAUAUCAGGAGGAACACCGGUGGCGAAGGCGGAUCUCUGGGCCGAUACUGACGCUGAGGAGCGAAAGCGUGGGGAGCGAACAGG
rnacentral:rRNA from 1 species